rnacentral:tRNA from 1 species
UGGGGGUUAGUCUAACUAAGACUAUUAAUUUCGACUUAAUAAAUUCUAAUACUUUUAGAACCCCUAA